GCGAAAACUUUACAAUGCUGGCAACAGCGAUAAGGGAACCUCGAGUGCCAGGUUACAAAUCUGGCUGUCGAAAUGCCUAAAAAGCAUUUCAUAGCAAGGGCCGGGCAAGACCGGUGCCAGCCGCCGCGGUAACACCGGCGGCUCGAGUGGUAACCGUUAUUAUUGGGUCUACAGGGUCUGUAGUCGGCCGGAUAAGUCUCUUGAGAAAUCUGGCAGCUUAACUGUCAGGCUUUCAGGAGAUACUGUCUGGCUCGAGGCCGGGAGAGGUGAGAGGUACUUCAGGGGUAGGGGUGAAAACUUGUAAUCCGUGAAGGACAAACAGGGGCGAAGGCGUCUCACCAGAACGGACCUGACGGCAAGGGACGAAAGCUAGGGGCACGAACC
rnacentral:rRNA from 1 species